ACUUGAAGCCACUGGGAGAGAUGAAGAGGAUAACCCCAGCCCUUCUGACACCCUCCCCCACGGGCAGUAGUGGGAAAGAUAGGAAAUCCUGUGAGGUAAAAAGGAGUUUAAUUCCUACCCAACAAAGGAAGAAGCGAAGGCCCAGACAGGUCACCUCACUCGCUCCAGUUCCUUCCACUGGGAAGGUCUAGAGUCUGGACGAUGCUCAGUAUGAUAAAGGCUCCUGUCCCUGUUUUCCCUCCACUUCCUCGGCCUCUUGACCAACCUUGGUGCCUCCCAGCAUGGCCCCACCCGGAGUUCUGUGCCUCCUGUUUCUAGGGAAUCUGUGAGGAUACAUUCUCAUUUCCAUGUGUUUGUGUCUUACCACACCUGAUCCAAACAAAUCCAAAUCCAGUUCUAUUCUAAAACAGUAGUAAAGUCUCCCCAGACCCCAAGAGGUAGGCAGGGUCUGUUAGGUCCUCAUUUUACAAGAGGAAACUGAGGUCCCAUGGGAGGUUAUGAACGUCACUUACAGUCCCACUGCCAGUAAAUAUCUGCUGGGCUGUGGGGUCUGGGCCUGUGCACAGUGCCACUUCCCCAUGCAGUGACAGCAGUCGACUGUCCUCUGACCCAUGUUACAGCCAGGGUUCCCUUUACUGGGUCUUCCUGCUACACAGGGAGGAGAUUAAGGACAGACCAGCUUGUGGAGAUUUGGGUCCCUGUUACCCGACUUCGUGCACGAGGCAGUCAGGGCUGACGGGUGUGGAUGGAGAGAAGGCAGAGAGGCCUUUAUCUUUACAGGGUGGGAAGCUGGCAAUAAGGAUCCAUGUGGCUUUCCUGUCAGUAUGCGUUGUUUUCUGUGUUGCCUCGUUCUGUCCCCACUCAGACCCUCUAAGGGAGGUGGCUGUUCUCCCCAUUUUGCCGAUGAGAAAACAGGCCAGGGGAAGGGAGGGCAUUUGCCACAAAGCCUGCCUUCUGUGGAGUCGGCCUCUGUCACAGUCCCAGGUUUCGUGUGUUAUGUGACCUGUCAGCCUCCUCCUCACGGCCCCUCGCUGCAUCCCAGCUCCUGAUCAACACGACACACACCAACUGAUCUUCUAGAAGAGUGAGAGCAGACAGCAAAGACCUGGGGGGCAGAGGCUUACCCCUGACCUUGCUGCGCUCCCAGGCUGGGAGCCGAGAGAGGAUGCUCACAGAGGAGACCGUUGUCGGCCCUUCCCCUCAGAGCAGUGGAAGGCUGUAAAUGUUGAACAAACAGCCGUCCAGAAAAGAAGCCCUGAUUCAUAGCUUUUGCCAAUUUCAUGGUGUCAAAACUCCCACAGUACUGAGUUAACUACUACCAUGUGGACGGAAGGUUUGUAUCCCCCAAAUGUAUGUGUUGAAGCCCUAGCCCCUCAGUGUGCCUGCAUUCAGAGAGGGCGCCCCUGAGGACAUAAUGAAGGUUAGAACAAUCAUCGGGAUAGGCUCUGGGUCCUCAUAGAAGGUGACAGCAGAGUGCUCCUCUCUCUUUCUCUCUCUCCAAGUGUACAGUCUGCGGGAAGGCCUCGUGAACACAGAGCAAGACGGCAUCGCCUACACACCACAGGCCAUGACCUCAGAAUGCAGCCUACCUUGCCAGCAUCUUGAUCUUGGACUUCCUGGACUCCAGAACCGAGAGAAGUUCCUGUUACUUAAGCCGCCAGGUCUGUGGCAUCUCCUUAUGGCCGCCCGAGCGGACGACUCCCCGUCCCAGGGUGAAGUCACUGAAUUUGAGUCCAGAAGAAACGCACAACAGCAGGUGUUUCGACCUCAUUCCCAUGAUACAGACACAAGAGCAUGAAUGACGUCAAGAGCAUAGGUCAUAGCAGUAUGUGGUAGAAUAAGGAGGGAGGAAAGACGGUAGCAGGGAGGGAUGAGCGUCCUUCUUUUUAAACAUAAUUUAUUUGUGAGUUUGUAUUUAAUUUUCUUGAUUAUCAUUUUUGUGGUGAUAAUACAUACCUA